rnacentral:rRNA from 1 species
GACUACUGGGGUAUCUAAGCCUGUUCGCUCCCCACGCUUUCGCGCUUCAGCGUCAGUUCUAGGCCAGAGAGCCGCCUUCGCCACUGGUGUUCUUCCAGAUAUCUACGCAUUUCACCGCUACACCUGGAAUUCCGCUCUCCUCUCCCGAACUCAAGAGAACCAGUCUUAGAUGCAAUUUAUGGGUUGAGCCCAUAGCUUUCACAACUAACUUAGUCCCCCGCCUAGGCGCCCUUUACGCCCAAUAAUUCCGAACAACGCUCGCCCCUUACGUAUUACCGCGGCUGCUGGCACGUAGUUAGCCGGGGCUUUAGGCAGGUACCGUCAUCACACCGAAUAUUACCCGGCGCUUAUUCUUCCCUGCUUAUCGAACUUUACAACCCGAAGGCCUUCAUCAUUCACGCGGCGUCGCUGCGUCAGGAUUGCUCCCAUUGCGCAAGAUUCCUCACUGCUGCCACCCGUAGG